GAAAUGAAUCUCAGUUCCCUUUUGACCAUCCUCCCUGGACAUAACCUUAACCCCCAUGUAGUGAGUCAAGAGUAAUUUAAAGGAGGUACAGCUCCUUUAAAAAAGGGUACAACCUCCACUAGCGGAUAACUACCUACCCCAACCCCCAAACUGUAGGCCCUUAAGCAGCCACCAAUAAAGAGUGCGUCAAAGCUCUACAUGUAAAAAUCCAAUAACAAUACGACUCCCUCCACCAUUAACAGGCCAACCUAUACCAAUAGGAGCAUUAAUGCUAAAAUAAGUAACCAGGGGCUCAUCCUCUUAAGCGCAAACUUACACUCACACUGAUUAACAGAUAACAAGCCAAUAUUUCAACUAUAACAAGACUAAAAUAUUGAACCCGCCCUGUUACACCAACCGAGGAGCGCCUAACUAGAAAGAUUAAAAUCUGUAAAAGGAACUAGGCAAACCCAAGGCCCGACUGUUUACCAAAAACAUAGCCUUCAGCCCACCAAGUAUUGAAGGUGAUGCCUGCCCAGUGACACUAUGUUUAACGGCCGCGGUAUCCUAACCGUGCGAAGGUAGCGCAAUCAAUUGUCCCAUAAAUCGAGACUUGUAUGAAUGGCUAAACGAGGUCUUAACUGUCUCUUACAGAUAAUCAGUGAAAUUGAUCUUCCUGUGCAAAAGCAGGAAUGCUAACAUAAGACGAGAAGACCCUGUGGAACUUAAAAAUCAGCAGCCACUACAAACAAACUUAAACCUACCAGGCUUCCCUCACCCUAAACACUGGCCUGCAUUUUUCGGUUGGGGCGACCUUGGAGAAAAACAAACCCUCCAAAAAUAAGACUACAACUCUUAACCAAGAGCUACUCCUCAACGUACUAACAGUAACCAGACCCAAUACAAUUGACCAAUGGACCAAGCUACCCCAGGGAUAACAGCGCAAUCCCCUCUAAGAGCCCACAUCGACGAGGGGGUUUACGACCUCGAUGUUGGAUCAGGACAUCCUAAUGGUGCAGCCGCUA
rnacentral:rRNA from 1 species